GACGAACGCUGGCGGCGUGCUUAACACAUGCAAGUCGAACGGACAGGCCCUGCUUUUGUGGGUUUCUCGAGUGGCGAACGGGUGAGUAACACGUGAGUAACCUGCCCUUGACUUUGGGAUAACUUCAGGAAACUGGGGCUCAUACCGGAUAUGAUCUCCUGCUGCAUGUUGGUCGUUGGAAAGUUUCGGCGGUUCGGGAUGGACUCGCUGCUUAGGAGCUUGUUGGUGGGGUAGUGGCUUACCAAGGCUUUGACGGGUAGCCGGCCUGAGAGGGUGACCGGCCACAAUGGGACUAAGAGACGGAGCAGAAGCGUACGGGAGGCAGCAGGGGGGAAUAUUGCAGAAUGGGCGGAAGCCUGAGACAGCAACGCCGCGUGCGGGAUGACGGCCUUCGGGUUGUAAACCGCUUUCGAAGGUGACGAAGCGUGAGUGACGGUAAUGGGUAAAGAAGCAACGGCUAACUACGUG
rnacentral:rRNA from 1 species